CUUUUCUCAUUACUUUUUUAGGUCUUUUCUCAUUACUUUUUUAGGUCUUUUCCCAUUACUUUUUUAGGUCUUUUCUCAUUACUUUUUUAGGUCUUUUCUCAUUACUUUUUUAGGUCUUUUCUCAUUACUUUUUUAAUUCUUUUCCAUUACUUUUUUAGGUCUUUUCUCAUUACUUUUUUAGGUCUUUUCUCAUUACUUUUUUAGGUCUUUUCUCAUUACUUUUUUAAUUCUUUUCCAUUACUUUUUUAGGUCUUUUCUCAUUACUUUUUUAGGUCUUUUCUCAUUACUUUUUUAAUUCUUUUCCAUUACUUUUUUAGGUCUUUUCCCAUUACUUUUUUAGGUCUUUUCUCAUUACUUUUUUAGGUCUUUUCUCAUUACUUUUUUAGGUCUUUUCUCAUUACUUUUUUAGGUCUUUUCUCAUUACUUUUUUAGGUCUUUUCUCAUUACUUUUUUAAUUCUUUUCCAUUACUUUUUUAGGUCUUUUCUCAUUACUUUUUUAAUUCUUUUCCAUUACUUUUUUAGGUCUUUUCUCAUUACUUUUUUAAUUCUUUUCCAUUACUUUUUUAGGUCUUUUCCCAUUACUUUUUUAAUUCUUUUCCAUUACUUUUUUAGGUCUUUUCUCAUUACUUUUUUAGGUCUUUUCUCAUUACUUUUUUAGGUCUUUUCUCAUUACUUUUUUAGGUCUUUUCCCAUUACUUUUUUAGGUCUUUUCCCAUUACUUUUUUAGGUCUUUUCUCAUUACUUUUUUAGGUCUUUUCUCAUUAC